rnacentral:rRNA from 1 species
GACGAACGCUGGCGGCGUGCUUAACACAUGCAAGUCGAACGCUGAAGCUCAGCUUUUGUUGGGUGGAUGAGUGGCGAACGGGUGAGUAACACGUGAGUAACCUGCCCCCUUCUUUGGGAUAACGCCCGGAAACGGGUGCUAAUACUGGAUAUUCACUGGUCUUCGCAUGGGGGUUGGUGGAAAGGGUUUUUCUGGUGGGGGAUGGGCGCGCGGCCUAUCAGCUUGUUGGUGGGGUGAUGGCCUACCAAGGCUUUGACGGGUAGCCGGCCUGAGGGGGUGGACGGUCACAUCGGGACUGAGAUACGGCCCAGACUCCUACGGGAGGCAGCAGUGGGGAAUAUUGCACAAUGGGCGCAAGCCUGAUGCAGCGACGCCGCGUGAGGGGUGGAGGCCUUCGGGUUGUGAACCUCUUUCGCUCAUGGUCAAGCCGCAACAAUGGUUGUGGUGAGGGUAGUGGGUAAAGAAGCGCCGGCUAACUACGUG